rnacentral:rRNA from 1 species
UUCUUCGGAUGAAGUAUGAUAUGACUGAGUGGCGGACGGGUGAGUAACGCGUGAGUAACCUGCCCUUCAGAGGGGGAUAGCGUUUGGAAACGAACGGUAAUACCGCAUAAUGUAUUUUGACCGCAUGAUCGAAAUACCAAAGAUUUAUCGCUGAAGGAUGGACUCGCGUCUGAUUAGGUAGUUGGUGGGGUAACGGCCUACCAAGCCGACGAUCAGUAGCCGGACUGAGAGGUUGAUCGGCCACAUUGGGACUGAGAUACGGCCCAGACUCC